rnacentral:rRNA from 1 species
UACGGAGGGGGUUAGCGUUGUUCGGAAUUACUGGGCGUAAAGCGCGCGUAGGCGGCUUAGAAAGUUAGGGGUGAAAUCCUGGAGCUCAACUCCAGAACUGCCUUUGAUACCGCAGAGCUUGAGUUCGGGAGAGGUGAGUGGAACUGCGAGUGUAGAGGUGAAAUUCGUAGAUAUUCGCAAGAACACCAGUGGCGAAGGCGGCUCACUGGCCCGAUACUGACGCUGAGGUGCGAAAGCGUGGGGAGCAAACAGG